rnacentral:rRNA from 1 species
UACGGAGGAUGCAAGCGUUAUCCGGAAUGAUUGGGCGUAAAGCGUCCGCAGGUGGCUGUGUAAGUCUGCUGUUAAAGAGUGAGGCUCAACCUCAUAAAGGCAGUGGAAACUACAUGGCCAGAGUGCGUUCGGGGCAGAGGGAAUUCCUGGUGUAGCGGUGAAAUGCGUAGAGAUCAGGAAGAGCACCGGUGGCGAAAGCGCUCUACUGGACCUUAUCUGACAUUGAGGGACGAAAGCUAGGGGAGCGAAUGGG